rnacentral:tRNA from 2 species
CGGGGAGUGGCGCAGCCUGGUAGCGCACUUGCAUGGGGUGCAAGGGGUCGCAGGUUCAAAUCCUGUCUCCCCGA